AUGCAGCUGCAGUCUGCUCAGCAGUGAGAACUGAAGACGUCAGUCAAAGAGAAGGAAAAACAGUCAGAGCUGAGAGAGUUUCUACCAGAGCCAAAUGUCAUCGACUCCUCACUGAAGUCGUCCACCAGUCCAACCACUGGAAUCCAGCUGCUGCUCUCUAACUGGUCCACACAGCAGCUCAGACCUGACACAUUCACUGUAAACACACUGGUUUAUAUUCUGUUUGUUCUCCUCAUGAAGGAAACUUCACACAACCACUGAGGGCAGAAAGUUCAAGUGGAGAGUUUUUGUUAUUAUUUUAUUUUAUAAAGAAGCAGAAGAAGAAUAGUACCAUAAUUUUUUUAUUUAUCUUUCAUACUUAAAAGAAAAUUCUUCACCAGGCCUUUCAGAAUAAAAGCAUGAUCAAGACAUAAUUUAUACAUAAACAAUAAUAAAUGGUAUGUAACUAAAAUGUAGAUGUAAUCCAUGUUUUCAUGUCUUCAGUAACUUUGCUGUUAUUUAUGUUAUUUCUAAGUGUGCUGUCGUCUCCACAGCAGUGAUCUGGUUUCUCUGCAGGUUCAAUAAACUUUGGUUUCACUUGA